AGUGAACGCUGGCGGCAGGCCUAAUACAUGCAAGUCGAACGGCAGCACAGCAGAGCUUGCUCUGUGGGUGGCGAGUGGCGGACGGGUGAGGAAUACGUGGGAAUCUGCCCAGUCGUGGGGGAUAACGUAGGGAAACUUACGCUAAUACCGCAUGCGCCCUUCGGGGAAAGCCGGGGACCUUCGGGCCUGGCGCGAUUGGAUGAGCCCACGUCGGAUUAGCUAGUUGGCGGGGUAAAGGCCCACCAAGGCGACGAUCCGUAGCUGGUCUGAGAGGAUGAUCAGCCACACUGGAACUGAGACACGGUCCAGACUCCUACGGGAGGCAGCAGUAGGGAAUAUUGGACAAUGGGCGCAAGCCUGAUCCAGCCAUGCCGCGUGAGUGAAGAAAGCCCUCGGGUUGUAAAGCUCUUUUGUCCGGAAAGAAAGCGCCGGGUUAAUACCCUGGUGUCCUGACGGUACCGGAAGAAUAAGCACCGGCUAACUUCGUGCCAGCAGCCGCGGUAAU
rnacentral:rRNA from 1 species